UACGUACUUCCUUCAUCCGAAAAUACUUGUCAUUAAGAUGAAUAAAAGGGGAUGUAUCUAAAUGUAUUUUAGUUCUAAAUAUAUCUUUUUUAUCUAUUUUGAUGACAAGUAUUUCCGGACAGAGGGAGUACAUC
rnacentral:pre_miRNA from 1 species